AGGGAUUUAUGUUCGCAGGAGAGAUGGCACUGUCUGUGGUGCAACUAGCUACCAGCAGAUGGUGUCAUCCCUCCUGUGACCAGAAAACCCU
rfam:Prunus persica cultivar Lovell chromosome G3, whole genome shotgun sequence.